rnacentral:rRNA from 1 species
GUCCUAGCUGUAAACGAUGGACACUAGGUGUUGGUGGUAUCAACCCCGCCAGUGCCGUAGCUAACGCAUUAAGUGUCCCGCCUGGGGAGUACGGCCGCAAGGCUAAAACUCAAAGGAAUUGACGGGGCCCCGCACAAGCAGCGGAGCGUGGGGUUUAAUUCGAUGCAACGCGAAGAACCUUACCAAGGCUUGACAUGACCAGGACAAACGGCGGAAACGUCGUCUUCCCGCAAGGGACCUGGCCACAGGUGUUGCAUGGCUGUCGU